UACAAUUUUAUUUUAUAAAGAAUUUUUAUUUUUGGGAUAAACGGAUUUGUUGUGU
rnacentral:tRNA from 1 species